GACGCUGGCGGCGUGCCUAAUACAUGCAAGUCGAACGGUCUUUCUAUGGAAGCUUGCUUCCACUGAGAAGAUAGUGGCGAACGGGUGAGUAACACGUGGGUAACCUGCCCAUAAGAGGGGGAUAACAUCCGGAAACGGUGCUAAUACCGCAUAGUUUUCUUGAUCGCAUGAUUGAGAAAGGAAAGACGGCCUUUGUGCUGUCGCUUAUGGAUGGACCCGCGGCGUAUUAGUUAGUUGGUGAGGUAACGGCUCACCAAGACGAUGAUACGUAGCCGACCUGAGAGGGUGAUCGGCCACAUUGGGACUGAGACACGGCCCAAACUCCUACGGGAGGCAGCAGUAGGGAAUCUUCCGCAAUGGACGAAAGUCUGACGGAGCAACGCCGCGUGAGUGAAGAAGGGUUUUUUACCGGGAUCGUAAAACUCUGUUGUCAGAGAAGAACAAGUUGGAGAGUAACUGCUCCAGCCUUGACGGUAUCUGACCAGAAAGCCACGGCUAACUACGUGCCAGCAGCAGC
rnacentral:rRNA from 1 species